rnacentral:misc_RNA from 1 species
AACGCACGAGACCUGCGGACCUGCGGAAGGAUCAUUACCAAAUAAAAUCCGGCCGGGGUUGUCGCUGUCCUCGAUGGGGGAACGCGCCCAACCUUGCCGUUGUUUCCACCUCUUCACCACGUGCACCUCCUUGUAGACCGGAUCACCCGUUUGAUCCACAAGCCACGCACGCAUAUGCGGGCUUUUUCCCUGGAUGUUUUGAGGAUUUGCUGUGACAUCACAAGCUUUUCCUGGGGGUGG